rnacentral:rRNA from 1 species
GACGAACGCUGGCGGCGUGCUUAACACAUGCAAGUCGAACGGAAAGGCCCUGCUUGAGGGUACUCGAGUGGCGAACGGGUGAGUAACACGUGGGUGAUCUGCCCUGCACUUCGGGAUAAGCCUGGGAAACUGGGUCUAAUACCGGAUAGGAGCCAUUUUUCGUGUGAUGGUUGGAAAGUUUUUUCGGUGUAGGAUGAGCUCGCGGCCUAUCAGCUUGUUGGUGGGGUAAUGGCCUACCAAGGCGGCGACGGGUAGCCGGCCUGAGAGGGUGGACGGCCACAUUGGGACUGAGAUACGGCCCAGACUCCUACGGGAGGCAGCAGUGGGGAAUAUUGCACAAUGGGCGCAAGCCUGAUGCAGCGACGCCGCGUGGGGGAUGACGGCCUUCGGGUUGUAAACUCCGUUCGCUAGGGACGAAGCUUUUUGUGACGGUACCUAGAUAAGAAGCACCGGCUAACUACGUG